rnacentral:misc_RNA from 1 species
UGUGAAUGUUCAGGUCCUGUUAUACACAAAGCAAUGCAUUCUAUAACUAGUUUGAUUCCAAACACAUUUCUAUACAGUAAUAUGAGAGAUGUAGCUGUGGAUUAAAACUUGCCUUGGCAAGUAAAAUGUUGUUAAGGGACAUCCACAGUUCCUAGACAAUAGGAUGCCAGGUAAUUUUACUCACAUCAACCCAUUCUUUAACUAAUAAUAAGCAUAAACCAUUGCAAUCAUGUAUAUAGAAAUCAAAAAUAAUUAAGGCUUUAAUGAAUGAUGCUCAGAAUAAUGGCAGUGUUUUCUUUUUAUCCCUGUACUUUUGAAGCACAAGUAGUCAUGAAUUGCAUUACACUUUCUUCAACACUUGUGAAUGCAUCUGUACUCACAUCAACUGUCCAAUCCUUCAAAUCUUGCAUGUGCAAUAGUUCCCCUGCUCUUACUUUUGCAUUUGGAUGAGCAAGCUUGGAUUCAAAAGGAGUCCUUGGCCUGACCUCUCAAAUCUCCUCCCAUUCCUCACGUGUAAGCAUCCUAACAGUGCCUUGACCUGGAGGAGCAUUAUUUUUUUCGCGUUCAAUCAUUUCUUCUUGUUUUGAGGAGUCAUGCAUCAUGAGGAGCUUUGCAAAGAGCGCAGUAACAACAACAGGGAGAAUCAUCGGCAUAGUUGCUUUGUCAAGGAACGAUUUUGAUUCAGGGACCUCACACAUAACUCGUCGGUAUUGGGAUUCUUCUUUUUCCUCAUCUUCUCCAAUUCAAAAUCCUUCUCUUCAAGGUUUCUGAGGGGCCAUCACGAGACAGAGUAUGCAAUCCCCUUCAACACAGGAAAAGCGUCUCUCUAGCCCCAUACAUGAUAAGAACUUACAGAAGCAUUGCCCAUUAAUGCUCUGUAGCCUUUUUGUUUUAACUUAU